CCUCUAGGACAUCACAGGCACCUUGAGCAGAUGUGAGAGGGAGAAGUUUCAGAACCCAGUGGCCUUUUCUUCUGACCUGAAAUGGAGAAUCUGGGAAUCUUCUCAAAGAAAUGCAUCUGUGGAGACCAUAAUGAAGAAAUUCAAAGACUCACUGUCGUCUAGACAGCGGUUGGACAAAGGUAAAUUUCUAGGAUCAAAGGGGGAGUGAAAACUUUCAUAUGAAUUAUG